AAUCAAUGUCUUUAUUAUUUAAAAUUAAAUAUUGUAUUUUAGUUAAUUUUUGUUCAUGUACAGUUGUGAGGCGGCUCCAUCCAUCAUCCACAUGCUGCUGCCUCGGCUGCUGUUUGUUGUUUUGCACCUUGAGCCUUGACUACUUCCGGUUUGCCCGCGAAGGACGACAACUCUGCAGCAGGUAGUUCUUGUUCUGCUGGUUUACUGCUGGCCACCGCAUCCUCAUCGCCGACACAUCCUGCGGGCCACUGGACAUGCAAAUAAGGAUGUCGCCUUCGCGGGCAGCAGAACAUGCGUUUGCUGCGAUAUUCUGGGCAUUGCUCAUGUGGCGGAGCCUGCAUCAAGUGGCUGCCACAAGUCCUGCCAGCAGGCCGGAUGUUGUUGCAAUCGAUCGAUUUGGGAGUAGUAAACUAAGAUGCUAUCAUGUGGCUAAUUGCCAAAGACAGCGAGCGUUUUCAUUGCCAUGGCCAGGACUAAAGGACUCGAAGGACUAAAGUAAACAACAUUAGCCAAAAUGGCAAUUUGCAGAUACGGCCACCAAACAAAUGUCUAGACAGGGCAGGACUAAAGUCCCGGUGCUCUGGUACACCUGCCCAGGUAGUUAAAUUAAUCAUCAACGUACCGCUCCUGGGGGAGGAAAAAGGAUCUGUAGUGGGAGUUGCCGAGCAAACGCCUUUCAGUAAGAUGCUUCAAUUACGAAUGUUAUUAUACCGAAGGAACACGCAUCUUGGAUCGCAACUGAACCAUUCAGAAGUUCUGGAUCAGAAGCGGAAUAUCUUUACCAUACGCACUCGAGCAGGUACAGUUUCGUUACGCCAGCUCCAGCAACAACAAUAUGUAACUACUACAACUACUCGUACUACUAGCAUGAUGAUUAAAAUAAUAA